GUCGGACGGCAGCAUAGAAGAGCUUGCUCUUUUGAUGGCGAGUGGCGAACGGGUGAGUAAUGCAUCGGAACGUACCGAGUAGUGGGGGAUAACUGUCCGAAAGGAUGGCUAAUACCGCAUAUUCUCUGAGGAGGAAAGCAGGGGACCUUAGGGCCUUGCGCUAUUUGAGCGGCCGAUGUCUGAUUAGCUAGUUGGUGGGGUAAGAGCCCACCAAGGCGACGAUCAGUAGCGGGUCUGAGAGGAUGAUCCGCCACACUGGGACUGAGACACGGCCCAGACUCCUACGGGAGGCAGCAGUGGGGAAUUUUGGACAAUGGGCGCAAGCCUGAUCCAGCCAUGCCGCGUGUAUGAAGAAGGCCUUCGGGUUGUAAAGUACUUUUGUCAGGGAAGAAAAGCCUGGGGAUAACACCCUCAGGUCAUGACGGUACCUGAAGAAUAAGCACCGGCUAACUACGUGCCAGCAGCCGCGGUAAUACGUAGGGUGCGAGCGUUAAUCGGAAUUACUGGGCGUAAAGCGAGCGCAGACGGUUAUUUAAGCAAGAUGUGAAAGCCCCGGGCUCAACCUGGGAACUGCGUUUUGAACUGGGUAGCUAGAGUGUGUCAGAGGGGGGUAGAAUUCCACGUGUAGCAGUGAAAUGCGUAGAGAUGUGGAGGAAUACCGAUGGCGAAGGCAGCCCCCUGGGAUAACACUGACGUUCAUGCUCGAAAGCGUGGGUAGCAAACAGGAUUAGAUACCCUGGUAGUCCACGCCCUAAACGAUGUCAAUUAGCUGUUGGGGUACAUGAUGCCUUAGUAGCGUAGCUAACGCGUGAAAUUGACCGCCUGGGGAGUACGGUCGCAAGAUUAAAACUCAAAGGAAUUGACGGGGACCCGCACAAGCGGUGGAUGAUGUGGAUUAAUUCGAUGCAACGCGAAGAACCUUACCUGGUCUUGACAUGUACGGAAUCUCUUAGAGAUAGGAGAGUGCCUUCGGGAGCCGUAACACAGGUGCUGCAUGGCUGUCGUCAGCUCGUGUCGUG
rnacentral:rRNA from 1 species